rnacentral:rRNA from 1 species
CGAACGGGUGAGUAAUAUAUCGGAACGUACCCUAGAGUGGGGGAUAACGUAGCGAAAGUUACGCUAAUACCGCAUACGAUCUAAGGAUGAAAGUGGGGGAUCGCAAGACCUCAUGCUCGUGGAGCGGCCGAUAUCUGAUUAGCUAGUUGGUAGGGUAAAAGCCUACCAAGGCAUCGAUCAGUAGCUGGUCUGAGAGGACGACCAGCCACACUGGAACUGAGACACGGUCCAGACUCCUACGGGAGGCAGCAGUGGGGAAUUUUGGACAAUGGGCGAAAGCCUGAUCCAGCAAUGCCGCGUGAGUGAAGAAGGCCUUCGGGUUGUAAAGCUCUUUUGUCAGGGAAGAAACGGUGAGAGCUAAUAUCUCUUGCUAAUGACGGUACCUGAAGAAUAAGCACCGGCUAACUACGUGCCAGCAGCCGCGGUAAUACGUAGGGUGCAAGCGUUAAUCGGAAUUACUGGGCGUAAAGCGUGCGCAGGCGGUUUUGUAAGUCUGAUGUGAAAUCCCCGGGCUCAACCUGGGAAUUGCAUUGGAGACUGCAAGGCUAGAAUCUGGCAGAGGGGGGUAGAAUUCCACGUGUAGCAGUGAAAUGCGUAGAUAUGUGGAGGAACACCGAUGGCGAAGGCAGCCCCCUGGGUCAAGAUUGACGCUCAUGCACGAAAGCGUGGGGAGCAAACAGGAUUAGAUACCCUGGUAGUCCACGCCCUAAACGAUGUCUACUAGUUGUC